rnacentral:rRNA from 1 species
AACGAACGCUGGCGGCAGGCUUAACACAUGCAAGUCGAGCGCCCCGCAAGGGGAGCGACAGACGGGUGAGUAACGCGUGGGAAUCUACCCAUCUCUACGGAAUAACGCAUGGAAACGUGUGCUAAUACCGUAUACGUCCUUCGGGAGAAAGAUUUGUCGGAGAUGGAUGAGCCCGCGUUGGAUUAGCUAGUUGGUGGGGUAAAGGCCUACCAAGGCGACGAUCCAUAGCUGGUCUGAGAGGAUGAUCAGCCACACUGGGACUGAGACACGGCCCAGACUCCUACGGGAGGCAGCAGUGGGGAAUAUUGGACAAUGGGCGCAAGCCUGAUCCAGCCAUGCCGCGUGAGUGAUGAAGGCCCUAGGGUUGUAAAGCUCUUUCACCGGUGAAGAUAAUGACGGUAACCGGAGAAGAAGCCCCGGCUAACUUCGUGCCAGCAGCCGCCGUAACAC